rnacentral:rRNA from 1 species
UACGUAGGUGGCAAGCGUUAUCCGGAUUUAUUGGGCGUAAAGGGAACGCAGGCGGUCUUUUAAGUCUGAUGUGAAAGCCUUCGGCUUAACCGGAGUAGUGCAUUGGAAACUGGGAGACUUGAGUGCAGAAGAGGAGAGUGGAACUCCAUGUGUAGCGGUGAAAUGCGUAGAUAUAUGGAAGAACACCAGUGGCGAAAGCGGCUCUCUGGUCUGUAACUGACGCUGAGGUUCGAAAGCGUGGGUAGCAA